rnacentral:lncRNA from 1 species
AUGCAGUUAAAAUAUUUGGUUUUGCUUUAAUAAUAUAUCAAGCCAAUAGCAGAACCAUUCCAGAUGAACAUAUUCAAUUAUUUAUCCCACAAAGAUUUCUUGAGCUCCUAAAAAUUGACACUGGGACUACAGCAGUGAAAAAGGCAGAUUUUGUCUUUUUCAGAGAGACCCUCGCAAGAAGUUUAAAAUCUAGCUAGGAAGAAACAUAGCAAGCCAAUAAAAUCAUAUGCAACAAUUUGAUCAAAAGUAUGAAAUAUCAUGAAGAACCACAGUGUACUAUGAUGCAGUACAAUACAGAGUCUGACUUGAGGUAGUGAAGCAGUAAAGGUUUUCUUUGGUACAGAGUAUUUGCCAGAAUUGGCAAAUAAAAAUAUAGGACAUACAAUUAAAUUUGAAUUUCAAGUUAAAACUAUAAAUUUUUUCAAUAUGUCUCAUAUGUUGUAUUGGACAUACCGCAAAAACAAAGUUGUUUAUCUAGAAUCAAAUUUAACUGGGUAUUGUAAAUUUUAUCUGGCAAUCCAUAGUCUAGGAACUGCAAGAUGGCCAGGACUCUCUGAGCAGGUAGGAGACUGACCAAGGAUGAAUACAGAAAUUCUUCUUUGCCUCUCCCCUCCCGGCCCCCCUCCAUCUAGACUACAAAUACCUUUCAUGCAUUUAAUGUCUUGCAGUCCUCAAUAUGCCUGAGGAUAUAAUGAAGCAAUAUACAUAGAUAAAUUCCUUACCGUUCAAUGAAAACUUCUCUGUAUUCUCAAGUCGUAGCACAACACUUGGUACAGAGGUGACUUUCAGAAAGAGAAGUUCAGUGCCUAAAAACAUAUCAAUGUGGGAAUAAUGUUGCUAAGCAUCCCUUGGCUUUUGUUCCAUGACAGAAAAUUAACAUUUUGCUUAAAGGAAGAGAGGUUUGGUGAGAGGGAGGGAGAGACGUUUGGGGCAAACACCAUGGUCCCGCCCCUCAGGCCUGCUUUUCUGCUCUCCAGGCACAGCGGACUCUUAAAGAAGUUUUCAGCUGUUGGNNNNNNNNNNNNNNNNNNNNNNNNNNNNNNNNNNNNNNNNNNNNNNNNNNNNNNNNNNNNNNNNNNNNNNNNNNNNNNNNNNNNNNNNNNNNNNNNNNNNNNNNNNNNNNNNNNNNNNNNNNNNNNNNNNNNNNNNNNNNNNNNNNCUCGUAGGCUUACAAAACAGUAGGGAUGUCUCUUUCUCUAUGCCCGUUACUAAGUUCUAGUAAUACCAUCCUCAUCAAUAAAGUCAAUUUGGAAAGUAAGGAUACGUAAGAAUUAGGUCUCCAUUUUCUGAAGACAUACAGAGAGUUUUCAAAAACAAAUUAUUUUAUAUUCAAAAGCUAAGAGUUCUAAUUACCAUUCUUGUUAUAGCACAACAGAUUAAGACUUACUGGGAGAAAUAAACAUGAUUUGCGUAAUAUGUACAGUGGCUUUCUGUAGAAGUGGGGAGGGCAUUUUAUUCCUAUUUAUUCUUACCUGGACAAAACUGAACAGUAAAGCUGAUGGCUUCAAAGCAGACAGUGUGAUUGGAAUCUGAAGCCACGACCAGUGCAUUAGCCGCCUGAGACUCCCUUUUACUCAACACAUUUAUUUUCUUGUUACUACAAACCAUUUUAGAAGUUCUGGCAUAUAUUAGUCUUGUUAUAGCUAAUUAAAAUGGGAAGAAAGUAAAAAUCUGAAUUAUGCAUUUUGUUUAAGAAUACUUAUAAAUGGUUAAUAAACUAUUGUAACCUCUACAUUCUCAAGUUAAAGGAAACAAAGUCUUACUGAAUGACUGUUAAGUACUCUCCUACUUUCAGAAGGAGGCAGUCAUAUUUGAACUACUGCAAUAACAAAAUAAUCCAUGUAUUUUACUUACAGGCUUGAUUAUAAUCAUUCAGUUUAAUUUAAAAAUCAGAUUUCUUUUUCUAUUGUGUAUGCCUUUCCCACACAACUGACUAUUGUGAUACUGGCAAACUGAUGAGUUUCUGCUAUAAUCUGUCUGGCCAAGUAUCAGUUUCCACUCUUGAGAAAUGUAAUUCAUAUUUGAUGCUCCAUGGGCUUUUCAGGUGGCACCAGUGGUAAGAACCCACCUGCCAGUGCAGGAGAUCUGAUGCAGGUUUGAACCCUGGGUUGGGAAGAUCCCCUGGAGAAGGGCACGGCAACCAAUUUGUAUUCUUGCCUGGAGAAUCCCUUGGACAGAAGAGCCUGACGGGCUACAGUCCAUGAGGUUGCAAAGAGAUGGACACGACUGUAGCAACUUGGCAGAGCACAGUACAUUAAUAAUAUAACUUAGUUGUGGUAAUGAUACAUCAGUUUUAUAUCUCAUGCUCUUUGUAAAAGGAUUUACUGCAAAACAAUACAGAUAUCUGCUUCACAGUCACAGGACAGUUCAUAAUUCAUUUUAAUGCAGAGAUAGACUCUGAACCUCAUAUGAGAAAGGCUUUAUUUUACACACUGACCACGCAGCACCUGAAACAUAAUAGUUCACAUACCCUUUCACUUAAUGAGCAUAAGGAACAUGAGGAAAUGGGGCUUGUUUUGAGGUUAUCUAAUCAUUUUCUUUGAUAUGCAGAUAUUUCAAGACAAUAUAAAACUGAUAAGGUCAUCAUAUAGUUGUGUGUGUCUGUGCAUGCAUAUGUGUGUGUGUGCAUAGCUGCUUGAUCCCUUUGUGUCUAAUCAGAGCAGUAGUAGACAACUAAUGCUGUUUUGAUCACUAUUAUGAAAGGCUUUCCUAUGGGACUGGCAUCAGAAUCCUGGGGCUAUCCUUGGUAAUGAUGAGAGAGAGUGAAAAAAAUACAGCUUCUGACAUUCAGAAGUUGUCCGGACACUCACAGCAAUGCCAUGUUAUUCUAUUAGACACAAAUAUUCUCACAAAACACCAUCCUCACACAAGGUUAAUCUGAAACUAUGAUAAAAUUGAGAUCACUUAAUUUUGUCUAAGCACAAUAAAAACAACGUCAAUAAACUACCCAUAAAUAAAUGCUGCUUCUUCACUAAUCAUUUUUCCUCAUUCUCAUCUUCCCUCCCUAGAGAUACCCUCCCUAUAGAUAACCCAAGCAAAUCACUUUCUGGCAGCAUCCAAUCCAGAGAGAAUCCCUACUUUUUUAGACCUUCUUCCAAUUACCUGACCAAAGCUCAAAUCCCAUACAGGUUCAUUCUAACACCCUCUUACUGAGACAGUCCACAGUUCUCCGGGGUUGUGUGUUCUCCCUUGCGAAAUGAAUAAUAGGUCCAAUUUGUUCAGCUACAGGUAUGUUCCAGGAGGUCUUUGGCUAGAGGGCAUUGAUAAUGACAAAAACAGGAACAACAGCAACAGAAAUUAUCUAUUGCUCACUUUACUACAGCCACGAUCCUCCUUACUACUCUGAAUGCAACACACACCCCCUC